GGCAGAUGACUUGUGAGGUACUGAGAGCAAGAGAAGAUUACAUCUUCAGAGCAUACUAGCAAUUCAAGAUCCUAGAAAGGCCAGCCUGUUAUCCACAGGAUCAGCAUAGGACCUGACCACACGUGCCUGGUACAGAUGGAAGCAGCAGCACUCAUUCCUCUCCUUGGAGUUCACUGGGAGGGAAGAUUGAGCUUUGGAGGCAGGCAAGAGUACGUCUUCUUAUAGGACUGCUGAGAUAUGCAAAGACUGUAGCUGAGCACCAACAACAUCUGGAGAAAUGACAAAAGAGAAAUAGGACAGAGUUUACUUCAGCUAAAAAGAACAGAAGGCUUCUCUAGCACAAGUUUUCAGUUGAAGCAAUCCAACUGCUACCAUAAAGGUAGCCUGAACUGACACUCUUGGUUCAUAACCAGGAUUUUCAAGCAAGCAAAUAGAUUGCAGGGGUAUGAGUUGGAAGCUGGGUACUUUAUUGCAGACGAUGGUGAUCCCACCAGCUCAAGCAUACAGCAGUUUAACUCACUGUGCUUCUGAAUGCUGAGAGAAGGUAGUGCUGC